GUGAAGGCAAUUCAGCUGUGUGACUGGAAGGGCUGGAGCCUGGAUCCACCUCUCCUGGGCCCCAUUUAAAGGCUGACUGCCAUUAAGGAAGGGCCUCUUUCUGGAGAUCUCUCUUCUGUGGAGUCUUUCUUUGAAACCUAGAUCUUCGGAUAUAGAACUUCCUCAAUCAGGUCCAUCCUAUCUGGCUGAUCUACAGUCUACCGUCUGCAUUAACUCUGGGGCUCCUGUAUCCUUUAUUGCAUAUUGUCUCCACUCUGCUGGAAUUCCUAGAGCUAAUCCAUUAACCACAAUACAUUAACUUCACAUCUUUCUGGUACUUGGAGCUUCAGACAACCUGACCUAGUGGAGGCUAUCUCUUGCCUACGGCAUUAGUGUUGAAACUGGAUGAUCUUUAACAUCCUUUCCAAUCAAAAAUAUGCUAUGAUUCUGUGAUUGAUUCUAUGAUUCCCAGAACUUAGGCAAUAGUCAUUUGAGCAAUAGAUCACUCUUACCACAGAUAAAACAAGGUAAAAGUAGCUGUCAGUGGUUUAUGGGCUGGUUCAACUCAGUUCUGUGUCUAAUGGGGUGUGGGGACCCCAGAGGAGAGGGUAGGGAGAUGGGCCUAAAACAAAACAGGCAAUGAUUUGAGGGGGAAAACUAAUUUACUAAAUAAGACAUAAAAGUGAAAGAUAACGAUAUAGUACAAUAUAAUCAGAAUGUAAGCCAAUAAAUAAAAUGACAGAAAGUGUCCAAAAAAAACCCAAAGGCUUUACUCUAAUGCUGAAGGUGAAAUGAUCUAGGGAGCAUGUGCUCCCAAGAUCAGUGAGAGGGGAAAGAGAGCACCUCUCAUGAUCUGUGAACAGUUUUAUCUUUCCCUCUGAACUGAAAUGGA